GUCGGGAAUGUGUAAUUCCAUUUGUUUCUGUUUUUUUAUUUUCUAUUUCGCUUUGUUUGUGUUAUAACUGCAUUCUAUUUUUAUUUUUUUUUUAUUUUUCUUUCCUUUCCUUAAUGUUUCUGCAUGUAUUUUGACCUUUUUUCAUUAUUAUUUUUUUUCUUCUUCAGAUUUAUCAUAUUGAAACCGUGACACUAAUUUACUAUUGUUGAGCUAUGAGGGAUGAUCAGAAACUGUAAUUAUGAAUGAAAAAAGGGGGCAUUUUUACUGUCAGCUUGGGUUGAGCAGUUUUUCA
rnacentral:lncRNA from 1 species